rnacentral:lncRNA from 13 species
UCCCCACCAUCUUUUCACAAAAGCUUCUCUCCCUCUUCCUCGCCCCCUGCUUCCCCUCACCAUCCUCUCAUUCCUCCUCUCACUUGCCACUCUAUUUUCCCCUUCCAUCUACCCCAAAAUAGUUUUCCCACCAUCUUUUCGCAAAACCUUCUCUCCCUCUUGCUUGCCCACUUUCUCUUCCCCCUCCCUCGUUGCAUCACCUUUUCUUCUCCCACUUGUCCCCCUCUUCCCUUCUGCAUCUGCCCAAAAUCUUUUUACGCACCAUCUUCUUUCCAUCUUUCUUUCCUCCCGUAUUUUUUCAGACCUUCUCUCCCUCUUCCUCGCCCCCUGCUUCCCUUCUCACCAUCCUCUCAUUCCUCCUCUCACUUGCUACUCUAUUUUUCCCUUCCAUCUACCCCAAAAUAGUUUUCCCACCAUCUUUUCCUCACCGUCUUUUUUCAACACCUUAUCCUGUUUGCCAUCCUCUUUGUCCCUUUGGCAAUAACCACCCUCAGCCCUCCCACCUCGCCCCAAACUCGUUUCCCCUCCUACCGCUCCAGGGGCAUGACUUUGUGGCUACCAUGGUGAGCUGCAGCAAGGCGAACCGCAGGACUGCAGACUCCAGCUUCCACCAGGUGGCAGCUGGCUCUCCCGUCUUCUACUCCUCUAAGCCCGGCACCAAAGAGCACAGCCCAUGGACACAGAAAAGCCUGGAAUGGAGUGCCUGCCCAACAGAGCCAUUUAUAUACUGAGGUUAUGCACAGAGGUUCCUGAACUACACGGUCUCAUUGGAUGAAAACAAGUCUGAGGCCAACCAAUCAGAGCAUGAAAAUAAAACCCAAUCAGAGUAGGCCUAAAGGUUUUCUCUCAUCCAAUGAGAACAUGCAGUCCAGGAUCCAUGGGCAAAAACCUCAGUAUAUAAGGCAUGCGCAUCUUCUUGCGGAGCCACUGUGUUCCUGGCUUAGAGGACCAGGAGUAGGGGUGGCGGAGCUACCUACUGCAUGCUGGAGGCUGCAUGCAGCCUGUGGUACCGUGGCUGGCCUCGCUGCAGUGGGUGGUGGUGAUGGAAACUGCAGUGGCUGGAGCGAAGGACAUGCACUGUCGUCGCAACGGUGAUGAGCUGGAAAUUAAUUGCUGACAUUUGAAAACCACCAAACCAAUACAUAAGUCCCAGAGGUGAGGGACACUGUGGAGAGUGGAUUCUUGUUCCCCAGGCUGGUGGGUAGGGAACGGGGGCUUCAUGAAGUCCCUAGAGAGCUGGAGAAAAGGGAAAGAACACAAGCUCAGCUAACUCAGCAGGUGGGGGGGGACGGGCAGUCCCCACAGACACGGGGUGGGCCUGGCAGCUCCCAGUGGGCACUCACUCACCCAGAGGGUGUUCCUUAAAGACCACCAAGUAUUGCCAGGAACAGUGGCCUAUGCCUGUACUCCCAGCGCUUGGGGGGGCCACGGUAGGAGGAUCACCUGAGGUCAGGAGUUGGAGACCAGCCUGGCCAACAUGGUGAAACUAAAAAUACAAAAAUUAGCUGGACAUGGUGCUGUGAACCUGUAAUCCCAGCUACUAGGGAGGCUGAGGCAAGACAAUUGCUUGAACCUAGGAGGUGGAGGGUGUAGUGAGCCAGGAUCAUACCCCACAUGCCAGCCUGGGCAACAGAGUGAGACUCUAUCUCAGGAAAAACAAAAACAAAAGCUGGGUGCAGUGGCUCACACCUGUAAUCUCAGCACUUUGGGAGGUGGAUCAUCUGAAGUCAGGAG